rnacentral:lncRNA from 1 species
UGGCAGUAAUACUGGUGUUGAUGGCAGGCUGGUGGCCAAUGAUGAUGGUGGUAGUGGCAAUAACGGUGACGAUGAUAAUGGUGAUGUAAACGAUGGUAAUAAUAAUGAUGGUGGUGCGACUGGUGAUGCUGAUAGCUAUGUUCAUGAUUAUGCUACUAACCUUGGCCAUAAUGAUGACAUUUCACAUUUGAAGUGAAUAAGAUCUUGGGUGAAAAGAUAUUCUUGAUGUACCAGAGAUAUUGUUCACUUCGUAUUUGUUCUGGUUAUAAUUCACAUUCUAGAUUUUGUUUUGUCCAGUGAGUGUUCUUGCUCCUGAGUUGGAGAAAAAUGAAGACUUGCUUGCUGGAAUGUCAAGAUGGAUGGGUCUGGACGUCUGCCCUAUGCCAAUGCUGGAGAAGUGGUGUGGAUUCAGAGGAACACUGGCAGGUCCAAAUGAUGUGUGCCAUUUAAGGAGGAUGUGGAAGUUAUGUAAGGUUCCUGUGUGGCUCAUAAAUAAAUAGAGCCAUUGCAGGAUGGGAAAGGCAGAGAGAAAAUGACCUGACCACGCGGCAGUGGCAAGGCUGUGAGCAGAUGGCUUGCAUGGGCAGUGUAC